UAGAUUAGUUACUAUCACAGCAUCUGUUGUUCAGUGCCACAGCUUCAGCGAGCUCGUGUCCCAUCGACCCAACAUUCCCAUCAUGUUUCAAACUGGGCGCAUCCACUGCAGCUUAUCAGAUAGAAGGGGCUUGGAAUGUUAGCGAUAAAAGUGUUAGUAUUUGGGACAACUUCACUCAUAGAGUACCGAGAGUGACCGUAGAUAACAGCACGGGAGAUAUCGCGUGCGAUUCGUACAACCUGUGGCAGCGGGACGUGGAAAUGGCUGCUGAGAUGGGCCUGGACUACUACAGAUUCUCUAUAUCCUGGCCUCGCUUACUGCCGAAAGGUUACGAUUACUAUGUGAGCAAAGAUGGCGCUGAGUACUACAAUAAUUUGAUAAAUGGCCUCCUGG